GCCGGGCGCGGUGGCGCGCGCCUGUAAUCCCAGCUACUCGGGAGGCUGAGGCUGGAGGAUCGCUUGAGCUCAGGAGUUCUGGGCUGCAGUGCGCUAUGCCGAUCGGGUGUCCGCACUAAGUUCGGCAUCAAUAUGGUGACCUCCCGGGAGCGGGGGGCCACCAGGUUGCCUAAGGAGGGGUGAACCGGCCCAGGUCGGAAACGGAGCAGGUCAAAACUCCCGUGCUGAUCAGUAGUGGGAUCGCGCCUGUGAAUAGCCACUGUACUCCAGCCUGGGUAAUAUAGCGAGACCCUGUCUCU
rnacentral:SRP_RNA from 1 species